rnacentral:rRNA from 1 species
AGAUUGAACGCUAGCGGGAUGCUUUACACAUGCAAGUCGAACGGCAGCGCGGACUUCGGUCUGGCGGCGAGUGGCGAACGGGUGAGUAAUAUAUCGGAACGUGCCCAGUAGCGGGGGAUAACUACGCGAAAGCGUGGCUAAUACCGCAUACGCCCGUACGGGGGAAAGGGGGGGAUCGCAAGACCUCUCACUAUUGGAGCGGCCGAUAUCAGAUUAGCUAGUUGGUGGGGUAAUGGCUCACCAAGGCGACGAUCCGUAACUGGUCUGAGAGGAUGAUCAGUCACACUGGAACUGAGACACGGCCCAGACUCCUACGGGAGCAGCAGUGGGAAUUUGGACAGGUGGGGAAACCUGAUCCAGCCAUCCCGCGUGUGCGAUGAAGGUCCGUUCGGGUUGUAAAGCUACGUUUUGGCGAGGUAAGAAACGG